GCGGGAGUGGUGGAAUUGGUAGACACGCCAGAUUUAGGUUCUGGUGCCGCAAGGUGUGAGAGUUCAAGUCUCUCCUUCCGUACCA
rnacentral:tRNA from 21 species